CUUCCAUCCUCGCGGAUCCGAGCACGCUCGAUCGGAUACCCUUAAUCGCGGCUACCAUAAACACGCUCCUACCCCACGAAAUCGAUGGCGCGCGUGUUGAGGGCGUGGGGAGGAGGUGCGCGGCCGCCAUCAAUGAUGUCGUACCCAUCUACUCCACGAUUCUCACCAUUCUUCCUGGUUGCCAAUCAGUUUUUGGUUCCCCCGCUGAAGCUCAGAUCUAUCUGAAUGGCUUCCCUAUGAAGCAUCAUCUGGUUGCUCAUUGGCGUCACCUUUGUUCUAUUGAAACUGGACAUCUUCUAUGUUGGUUGUUAACAUUAAGAAUUGUUCUUGUUAGGAACUAUUAUCUUGUUGGUUGCUCUCCCAUGCAGUGGUGUUGUAGGAAUUUUAUUCUUCUGCAGUAACAGGUACAUAACCAUUGGUGCUUUCAGAUUUGUCGAGUACCAUAAGGUCAGAAGUUGCAUUAUCUUCUUUUGCUUCCACUAUAAUGUUCUCAUUCUGGUGGCUGCUAUCUGAUGCAUUAGUGUUGCUUGAAUUUUUUUUUCUGGAGCAGGCAUGGAAUCGUUGGAGUUUUCAGAUUUGUCUACCACGGUUUCAGAAGUUGCAUUUUCGGUGUUUGCUCCCACUACAAUGCUCUCAUCAUUGUGGGUGCUCUCUGAUAUUGUAGUAUUGUCGGAAUUAUCUUCUACUGUAGCAGGAAUGGGAUCACUGGAAUUUUUGGAUUUGUCAAGAUCAGGCUCAGCUUCUUUCUGCUGCAGGAGUUCCUUUAUAGUUG
rnacentral:misc_RNA from 1 species